rnacentral:rRNA from 1 species
UUAAACUACAAUCUCUUAAAGUUAAGUGACCCGAAGCGAAAAGAGCUAACUACACAAAAUUUCAGAACUUUUAGGUGACCGGAGGUAAUGUGGCAAAAUUACUUAAUAGAUGUGAUAGUUAGGGGUGAAAGGCUAUUCAAAUUUCGCUGAUAACUGGAUUAAACUAAAAAAUAUUAAGUAUUUUCGACACAAGCUCAAAAAUCUAAGCUUUUGAGUUUAUUAAGAUAUAUGUUAGAGAAAUUAAAAUCAACUUUAUUAAUAUAAUAAUAUCUAAACUAAAUUAAUAAUUAAUUUACUUUUAUUUUUAAAUCUUUAAGUUUAUUUAUUUAAGUUAACUGUUAACUCAUAUUAAUAAUGUUUAAAUGAGUAUAGAACACAUAAAAAAAAAUAGGAACUCGGCAAAAAUUUUCUUCAACUGUUUAUCAAAAACAUAGCUAGUAGGUUUAUACUUCAUUAUUAGUUAGCUCUGCCCGGUGAUGAAAAAUUUAACGGCCGCAGUACACUGACUGUGCAAAGGUAGCAUAAUCAAUUGGCUAUUAAUUGUAGUCGAGUAUGAAGGAGUCCAUGGGGAAAAGCUGUCUUUUUUUUUAUUUCUAGAACUUGCUAAGCAAGUGCAAAAACUUGCGUCUCCUUUAUAAUAGACGAGAAGACCCUAUAAAUUUUUACUAAUAUAAGAAGAUAUCUUGAUCGUUUUUGUUGGGGCAACAAUGUAACACAAAUAAAGAAAUUCACAAUGAAAAUAUGAUUUAAUAAAACGAGUUUUACUAAGAACAACUAAAUUACUAUAGGGAUAACAGCAUAAUUUUAAUAUUAAGAUUGUGACCUCGAUGUUGGAUUAGGAACUUAACAAAUUAACAGUUUGCUUAAGGGGUUCUGUUCGAACUUUUACACCU